rnacentral:rRNA from 1 species
UUAACUGUUUAUAAAAAGAAAAUAAAAUUAAUUAGUUAAUUUUAUCCUUUAAUAAGGAAAAAAAAUUAAAACUACUCCAGGGAUAACAGCGUAAUUUUUCUUGAGAGUUCUUAUCGACAGAAAUAGUUGCGACCUCGAUGUUGAAUUAAAAUUUCAUUAAGGCGGAGAAGCUUUCAUUGUAGGUCUGUUC